CGACAGCCAGCCUGGUGGCUCUGGUCCUGCUCUACACAUCAUGUCUUUCCUUACAGAGCCCCACAGGCAGCCCCGUGCAGGCCCUGCCAGUGAGUCCAGGGUUUUAUUUCAAGCCGUCCUUCCCCGUCAAGCUCAUCGCCUGCGUUUGGCCACACACUCGCAGCUCUCCGAGCACAGCUGGUUUUUUCCUCUUUGUUUACUCUUUCAACAAAAGCUGGAUUCUAGACCAAGCUGUUAAGUCCUGGAGAUGCAGAAAGGAACAAGACAAACACAGGCUCAGCCCUCCAAAGCUUUCAGAAACAAGACCGACCACAAAGUGACUGAGCCAGUUAACCCAGGCAAGAGUAAUGAUCAAUAAAAGACUUCCAAGCAUAAAAACAGGAGGUAUUUUCAUCAAAUCUUGCCAGCAGAUUACAAGUUCAAGGAGAAAAAGAAAUGAUGCAACGUUUCCAACAAUUAGAGCCAAGUUUUUUGCGUGUUUUUUACAUCAGCGAUGGCGGAUGUCAGAUCACUGUGGCACUGAGUUUCCUCUGGACACACCUGAAAAGCAAAUAAUUCUAGAGCGCCGGCUGUGUGCUGUGCCCUCUGCUAGAGACAC
rnacentral:lncRNA from 1 species